CAGCCGCCACGGGAAUACGUAGGGUGCAAGCGUUAAUCGGAAUUACUGGGCGUAAAGCGUGCGCAGGCGGUUCGUUAAGACAGAUGUGAAAUCCCCGGGCUUAACCUGGGAACUGCAUUUGUGACUGGCGGGCUAGAGUAUGGCAGAGGGGGGUAGAAUUCCACGUGUAGCAGUGAAAUGCGUAGAGAUGUGGAGGAAUACCGAUGGCGAAGGCAGCCCCCUGGGCCAAUACUGACGCUCAUGCACGAAAGCGUGGGGAGCAAACAGGAUUAGAUACCCGCGUAGUCCCUGUCUCUUAUAC
rnacentral:rRNA from 1 species